rnacentral:rRNA from 1 species
AGGGUUUGAUCAUGGCUCAGGACGAACGCUGGCGGCGUGCCUAACACAUGCAAGUCGAACGAAGCUUGACGGAUGAUUUCUUCGGAAUGAAUUCUGAUAUGACUGAGUGGCGGACGGGUGAGUAACGCGUGAGCAACCUGCCCUUCAGAGGGGGAUAGUGUCUGGAAACGGACAGUAAUACCGCAUAACGUAUAUCUGAGACAUCUCUAAUAUACCAAAGCAUUAGCGCUGAAGGAUGGGCUCGCGUCUGAUUAGAUAGUUGGUGGGGUAACGGCCUACCAAGUCGACGAUCAGUAGCCGGACUGAGAGGUUGAACGGCCACAUUGGGACUGAGACACGGCCCAG